rnacentral:rRNA from 1 species
AAAUUGAAGAGUUUGAUCAUGGCUCAGAUUGAACGCUGGCGGCAGGCCUAACACAUGCAAGUCGAACGGUAACAGGAAGCAGCUUUCUGCUUCGCUGACGAGUGGCGGACGGGUGAGUAAUGUCUGGGAAACUGCCUGAUGGAGGGGGAUAACUACUGGAAACGGUGGCUAAUACCGCAUAACGUCGCAGGACCAAAGAGGGGGACCUUCGGGCCUCUUGCCAUCAGAUGUGCCCAGAUGGGAUUAGCUAGUUGGUGAGGUAACGGCUCACCAAGGCGACGAUCCCUAGCUGGUCUGAGAGGAUGACCAGCCACACUGGAACUGAGACACGGUCCAGACUCCUACGGGAGGCAGCAGUGGGGAAUAUUGCACAAUGGGCGCAAGCCUGAUGCAGCCAUGCCGCGUGUAUGAAGAAGGCCUUCGGGUUGUAAAGUACUUUCAGCGGGGAGGAAGGUGUUGUGGUUAAUAACCACAGC